rnacentral:tRNA from 1 species
GGUUGUGGCUCAGCGGUAGAGUGCUCGCCUAGCAUGUGUGAGGCGCUGGGUUUGAUCCUCAGCACCA